ensembl:misc_RNA Metazoa_SRP Metazoan signal recognition particle RNA
GCUGGGCGCGGUGGCUCACGCCUGUAAUCCCAGCACUUUGGGAGGCCGAGGCAGGUGGAUCACCUGAGGUCAGGAGUUCAAGACCAGCCUGGCCAAUAUGGUGAAACCCUGUCUCUC